AUACUGUUAGGGUGCAACUGAGUAGUCUAAUGUUGUUCCGAUUUUCGUUCUUGUGAACGUUGACAUCGAUUCAUUCCAAAUUCACACUCUCGGGGCAUAAUAGAGCAUCUCGGGGCAUAAUAGAGCAAUAUAAUAAGGUUUUACUCUUUGUUCGAUAGAAUGAGAAAAAGUACUCCUUACAAAGUUAUACUGUUAAGGCGCUACUGAAUAGUCUAAUGUUGUUCCGGUUUUGAUUCUUGUGAAAGUUGACAUCGAUUUGUUCCAAAUUUACACUCUCGGGGCAUAAUAGACCAAUAUAAUUAGGUUUACUCCUUGUUCGAUGGAAUGAGAAAAAGUACUCGUUGCAAAGUUAUACUGUUAGGGCGCAACUGAGUAGUCUAAUGUUGUUCCGAUUUUUGUUCUUCUGAACGUUGACAUCGAUUUGUUUCAANGUUAAUUAAGAGAAACCAUCUCUCUUUCUCUCUAGUAUCUCCGUUUCUCUCUCUCUCUCUUUUCUUCGAACGAGAGGUUCGGAGAGAGCCAAACCCGUGGUUUCUCUUUUCUCACGUUCAAGUGUAUAUAUAUAUAUAUAUAUAUCUCUCUCUCUCUCUCUCUCUCUCUCUCUCUCUCGUCCCGACGACACGAGAUCCCUCGUGCCUCCGGAGGCACGAGGACUCGGCAAAAGCUACUACCUCAAAGGCUUAGUUGCUAGCCGAGGCAAUUUGAACUAGAUCGCAUAAACUUCAAAGAUCUUUUAUUAAAAACACUAAAAAGCUAUAGUAAAUGGAUCGUUAGCUUUCCUAAGUUUUAGUUAUUAAAAAUUGCCAACUUUUAUUUUUAGGAUAUUUUUCACCACUAUAUCGUGAUUUUAAAAGCUAGUCUUUAUAACUAGAACAAUAUCUAUCAUAUUUCUGAGGAGAAAAUUGGAAUUGCUUGGUGGUGUAGCAAGCUUGGUGGAGAAGAAGGCUUGGAGUUGAAGCUUCAUCUUCAUCUUCUCCUUCCUUGGUCUAAGAGGAAACUUGAGAGGUUUUCUGACGCGCUGGCGAAGUCGGUUCGGCGAUACGACGAGGUUACGCGAAGAUAUUGAAGAAAAGGCCGAUUUCGGUACAGAUUGCCGCAGCUCGUGGCGUAAGCUCCCAAAAAUCACGAAACCGGAAUCGUAGCAUCGUGACAUCACCUAAAGUCUUGGAGCUAAAAAAGUCGGGGGCACGAAGGGUCGCGUGGAGCUCUCGGUGGGUUUGACCUCGCUACAAAUGAGAAAAUCUCAUUUAUGUGGAUUUAAGUAUCGUAAAAUGGAAAAUCACGCAUUUUAAUGAAAAAUGCAUUAUUUGUGAAUUUUAAAAUGCUUGAAAUGCUUAUGUUAUAUACAAUGCAUUUUCGGACCUCUAUGUAGUAGAGAGCUUGCAUGUAAGACUUAUGCAUGGGUUUAGCAUUCUAAUUGGGACUUGGAAUCAUGCUUCAUAUAGUAGACAUGACAAAUGUGUAAUAUGCCUUGGACAUAAAUCUCAUUUGGACAUAAGAGAAUACAUUAGGCCAUAAAGUGGUUUUGGACUUGAAUAACUUGUGAGUUAGGGAGCUAAUGUCGUAAUGCGACAUCGGGCUUGAGCUAUGAAUGAGCCUAGCAAAGUAAUGCCAUAGAGAGGCAUUAGGCUUGAAUGAUAUGUGAAUUGUAUAUGCAUGUUAAUAGUAUGAGAAUUAUGCUAAGUUGGUAGUUGCAUUGGAAAGUGUAUGCAUGUAGCAUUAUGAGAACUAUGCUAUGUUGAUAGUUGUAUACGGAUGCAUUGAAACCAUAUGCUAGUGGAUAGAUGCAUGUUAAUAUUUAUAUGCAUUGUGGAAUACAUGCUAGGUACAUAUUAGCAAUGUGAGAUCAUGCUAGAGAGCAUGCGAAUUAACCUAUUAUUGAUAGGGUAAGCUAAUGUCAUAAAGAGGCAUUGGGCUUGAAAUUUGUAAGGUACAGAACUUCUUAAAUUCUGAAGUUACGGUAGGAUGUAAUAGGUUUUACUCUUUGUUCGAUAGAAUGAGAAAAAGUACACGUUGCAAAGUUAUACUGUUAUGGCGCAACUGAGUAGUCUAAUGUUGUUCCGGUUUUGAUUCUUGUGAACGUUGAAAAUUCGUUCCAAAUUUACACUCUCGGGGCAUAAUAGAACUAUAUAAUUAGGUUUUACUCUUUGUUCGAUAGAAUGAGAAAAAGUACUCGUUUCAAAGUUAUACUGUUAGGGCGCAACAGAGUAGUCUAAUGUUGUUCUGGUUUUCGUUCUUGUGAACGUUGACAUCGAUUCGUUCCAAAUUUACACUCUAGGGGCAUAAUAGAACUAUAUAAUUAGGUUUUACCCUUUGUUCAAUAGAAUGAGAAAAAGUACUCGUUGCAAAGUUAUACUGUUUGGGCGCAACUGAGUAGUCUAAUUUUGUUCCUGUUUUUGUUUUUGUGAACGUUGACAUCGAUUCGUUCCAAAUUUACACUCUCGGGGCAUAAUAGAACAAUAUAAUUAGGUUUUACUCUUUGUUCGAUAGAAUGAGAAAAAGUACUUGUUGCAAAGUUAUACUGUUAAGGCGCAACUGAGUAGUCUAAUGUUGUUCCGAUUUUGGUUCUUGUGAAUGUUGACAUUGAUUCGUUCAAAAUUUACACUCUCGAGGUAUAAUAAAAUAAUAUAAUUAGGUUUUACUCUUUAUUCGAUAGAAUGAGAAAAAGUACUCGUCGCAAAGUUAUACUGUUAGGGGGCAACUGAGUAGUCUACUGUUGUUCCGAUUUUGGUUCUUGUGAACGUUGACAUCGAUUCGUUCCAAAUUUACACUCUCGAGGUAUAAUAGACCAAUAUAAUUAGGUUUUCUCUUUGUUCGAUAGAAUGAGAAAAAGUACUCGUUGCAAAGUUAUAUUGUUAGGGCGCAACUGAGUAGUCUAAUAUUGUUCCGAUUUUGGGGACCGUCCUCUGGCAAGGACCGGUUCCGAACGUUGAAUAUCCCCUUUGCCAGUUUGUGCAGCUUUACGUGGACGGCUCAAAGGGGUCGCUCGCCCGACAAAGGUGACCACCGGUUGGUCCCUCACUGCGAAAAAUACCCAGGGAGGCUGUUUCAAGAAGUGAAAAGUGAGGGUUUUAUGUUGCAUCAAGUGGGUUAUGAGAAGAGGCUAGGCUUGUCCGCCUCUCAUCGCAUCACUUACACUUCAGUGGAUGCCCUUCUUCACGUCGUGAUGUCGUAGUCCUCCAUACUCACGACCUCUGAUGUCUACUCAUCUUCUGGCUCUCUGAAAGGUUAUAACAAAAAAGCAUCAUAUCGGAGGAAAAGAGGAGAAGUAGCAGAAGGCUAGUAGAAUGAUAGAAGGAGACGAGAUAGAGACUGAAAAAGAGCGAGAAAGAGAGGUAUUGACAACUAAGACAGGAAUGAGAAGCAUAUCACGCGAGUUACACUAUUCAUCAUCUCCUCUUGCCCAAAGCUUGGAGCUUGGUAAUGAUGUAAACCUCAACCUUUGAUGUGGUUUCAAUAGGCAGAGGUAGAAGUUUUAUAAUACGAAUAAGCGCGGUUCAAGACUGAACCUUAUUGAGCUGCAUAACUGCCAGGUCGAGAUAUGUUUCGACUCGAAAUCGAAGCUCGCAGCCGGCAGAGUAGUCGUAUCUCAUCAAUGGCCGCAUGAUGCGUGCAUUGUGCUUUUCGAUAGUCUUUCGAGAAUAGGUUGGCCAGAGCAUACUUGAACUGGGCUAUUUAAUUCAAAUUAAUUUCGGCACACCUAAAUUCUAAGGUCCCGAAGUCGUAGGCACAGACGGUGUGUCGCAUUACCGUCGAGUAGCAGUCGAAGUUAUCGCCAAGAGAGACCUUCGGAGCUUCGUGUCCAUGCCUAGAAGGCUAACGGCGUCGAGACGGUUCUAAGGCACGACACAUCGCAAUCGAAGAGCUUCCACAGAAGUCCACCCACCGAGGGGUGGAGCAUCACAGUAAAACCCACCAAAAGUCCUCACCAGGGCGAGAGUGGCGCUACACGAGCUAACCAGAAGGGUGCGGGCGAUCAACAUGGUCGGACUUCACUUUCAUGCUUUAGAUGUCUGAUGUCAUCAUCGAAAGACUUAACUAGUACGAGUUUAUUACAUAUUGUGAUAUAGUCAAUUACUUGACGGAAUUGUCUUAACCAUGGAUUAUCGCUGCAUAUCCUUGCAUGCUAAGGAUGGUAUAGCUCUGCGUUUGUUCAUCAUCGUCAAGACUGAUUUAGUAAAACAUGCAGAGGUGAGCGAUCGUUUGAGAACAGACACCCAAUGAAAAGUCGCCCUAGUCAACUAACGAUAAGAAUUAUUGUUUCAGUAGAUGAUAUAUGAACCUAGUGAUACCUUGGAACACAGUUGUAUUCAAGAACUCUGUCAAGAGAACGAGUGGCCAUCUAGUUAACCUAAACAUGAACGAGUGCAUUAAGUAGCCGGUAGGCAGCGCAAAACCUAAGAAAACUGCCUGCAGCUUGUCGAGAGACUACAUCAGUAUCAGAUAGUGAUGGAUCAGCGCCACCAAUCAAGUUGCUACUACACCGAGGCUAACCUCUCGGUGCCACGAAAUUCCGCCGAGUAUAGAUAUGCCCCCUGUUGAUCAGGGCGAUAUUACGAGAUUAUCAUGACAGAGAUUGAAUCGAGCUCACUUAGCUGCUGUCUUACACCUGUAGGACAGUAAGAAUCCUCGCACCUUCCUUACGAUGCUUUAAGUCGUUACACAACUCCCGGAGUGCUUCUUCGGCGAAGAUAUCUCGCAAGAUACUGGCGGGCCAGUGUAUGCCCUGGAGCCAGUGUAGUGUCCGCUCUCGGAAGAUAGGAUCCGGUCUCCGGGUAAGUGAUAUAGCUAGCCCACUCAUCCCCUAUGCAAGCAUCUUAGACGACGUAGAGGUACACGUAUCAGAUGUCACAAUGAAAACCCGACGGCGAGCGAAACUUGCGUUCGCCGAGAGAUACGAAACUAGAUAUUCCACAGAAUAUAGCCCGAAGAUCCUGUUCAAUCAUGUCCAUGAUGCUGACUCACACUUAGCAUUGUGUUUGAUGGAAGCAUGUAGUCCCGAAAGGCAUCACCGAGACAGCCUAGCAUUCUUACUAUGAGUUGUGCGAAGACAUUCGUAGUGGCAUCCUGAAUUAUGAGGCAUUGUAGUACCUGUGGCGAAUCUAGUUUCUAUGGACCAUCAAUUCACUCUCAGCCCGGAUCUUAAGCUGAAUGGUACCGCUUUCAGUUAAUAUAAUCUAUCUAUCUGCAUAUCUAUCUGUAGCGCGGGGCUAAGACGCUAGUGGGAGGAUCCGAUGCAAUGAGAUCUUCGGAGCAGAUACACGCCAGAACCCACUGGGAAACUAUUCGUAGUUCUCACUCGCACAGAGUACUAUCGCUGCACUGAGGCUGGCUUCCAAAGAAAGGAGACCGUGUUCAAUCUGGGCAGGGGAUACCCCUGUUUCUUACACUGUGACUUUGUUGAGGCGGCUCGAAUCGCCGGAAGGCGUAAGCGCCCUACGGGUUGACAGUGGUAAUCCAGACGAAGAGGGUUUUUCACUUAUUUAAAUAUCAAAUUUUUUCUUGACUUAGCGCCUUAUUUAGAAGACAGGGCAGCACCUCUAGUCGUCUAGGGAGAUCACACCUGGCUCUAUGACCUCCUUUAUCACCCUACCUCAGCUGGCGCCUUCCCUUUACUUCAGCUCCCAGGCAAAGCAAUAUAAGAUUAGUCAUAGCCAUCGAGGAUCGAUGGUGGUUGCCAGACACAGUGAUCUCAUACUGCGGUCAGCACGAGGUCAUCCUGUUAUCUGGUAGUCUAGAGAGUUGUAGGUACGAAUUCACAGACUACAUGGUCAUAUCCAAUGAGUGGUCGCAUUCUUAAUCUUAUGUCUAAUAUACACGGCCGGGCAUUCAACAUUAUUGCCCUAGUAAAGAGAUAUCGCAGCGAAAUAGAGGCUCUAACAUGCUCGGUUAAUAAAUAUAUUAUAAGAAGUUAGCUCGGCAAAAUAGGAUCACCCAUCCUCCGCUCGCAUCGAUAGUAAUGUUGCCUAGUGAAAAACAGUCCAUUAGGUUCGAAUUUUAUUACUACUCAGAUCAGGCUAGAAAAACCCGAUCAUCGUUGUACCAAGAAGUAAAGCGGCGGUGAGUACCAUACGAGCAUAAGUGUAUGCUCAGCUGACAGGCGAGUAAGCAUCAUCCUGCUAGAGGUCGUCUCGAUCUCGAAGUGUACACAUCGAGUGUUUUGCGAGGAAAGACCAAGCUCACAUGCAAAUGAAUGCGAAAUAAAGAGUGGCGAUGCUCUUCACGUACUCGAAAAUGAGCAAUUCUAGCAUCAGAUGAAAUGUUGAAGGUAUGGACAAUACCUCGCAAGACAGUCGCCCACACCAGUGCCCUGCGUGCUGAGUCAGGGCGAAGACCUCUCUGCGCAUCUCCAGAUGCGCUGCCGUGCCCCUCAGUUUGCGCCUCCGUCCCGCGUAAUUGUGGUUGUUAAUUGUUAUGUACCCAGUUCAACGUUGUUCCUUGGAACCUUGUUGCUCACUAAUCUAUGGUUGAGCCUUGGCGACAGAGGAGGCUGUCCGUUCGGCGUCGGUCCGCCCUUCGAGUAGGGGGACCCCGGAGCCACGAAGCAGCUGCAGCUGGGGCUCCGCGGCUUCUGCGGGCGUGCAGGCAUGGGAGGAGACAGGGACUCCCCCUGAGACAUCCGCCACCUCCUAGGACACUGGCUUGCAGGGGAGCCACCUCGCACUGGCCACGAACGGAAACAGUGUCCUCCUCUGCGACCAUUCGCCAUCAACCGCUGAGCUUUGCCGGCAGAUGCACACAACGGUGGAUCGCCCCUCUGCUGAUUGCUCGAGGGCGCACUCUUUGCUCCCUGCUAGAGUGCGCGGAUGCUUUGGCGACCGGUUACUAUUGGAAAGGAGCCGCCGCACGUCUUAGAAUGGGAACGCUUUCUGUUCCCCAUCGCCUCCGAGGCCCUUUGCAGCUCGGACUCUCGUAGACUCGCUCUGGAUGACGAGGCUAUCGUCGCAAGCACUCCGUCAAAACACGUCAUCGUGCCAUGAGAAGCCCAGCAGCAUCCUGAUGUGGGUCUCGAAGCCCUCGCGAAGACUCUCGCCUUGUGCGCUCGUCAAAGUAGGCUCGAAUAGAGAGCAAGGGAUCAGCCUCCACCAUGGCGGAAGACGAAGUCCUGCUCGUAGCUUCAGCUACGGUACGUUCCCACUGCUGAAGAUGUUCUAAAGCUCCGCGCUCCGGCCCAGCCUCCAAAUUUUUGAGUUGUCCCGAAAGAAUUGCUUGGAUUGGAGAUCUCCGGAACUCCCCCCAGGGUUGGGAAAGGACGGCCCAGCUGUGAGCGAGGUAGAUGUCGGCAGCCACCAAAUAGAGCUGCGUCCGCCGGUCCGAGAAAGUGUGCGGCCAAGGACGCGGUACCUGGCUCAUCCGAUGAGUAUAAGUCGCUCUAAAGCUAGGUACUCUCACAAUGUCGGUCAGGUUCGAUGAGCAGGUCGCGUCGAUAGAAACUCCUAGUUCUCUUCCUUCUUACGCUCCACGCGUAUUCUUGCGGGUCGAAUUCCCAUGAACUCAUCCAGCUUCGCACAUGCAUAGCGGGCGCCUCUGCUGCGGGGUAAUUUGCAUCCUCAGCUGGAACCUCUGGUGGUCGUCCGUCGUCGUCGAGCUCAGCAAGCAGAUAAAGAUGGAACGGAGCCGAGGGCCGAGCUACCUAGUGCAGGCGCACCUGAGGAGGUGGUGGACUUCCUACGGAGACUCUAAGAGCAGGCAUGACCCAUUCCAGAACCGGCGGCGUCGGGGAAGGUAGUCGCUUAUAUGGGAACACAGCUCUAGGCGGUGUGCGGCUCGUAAGGACUAGCUGGCAUGAGUGCUGCGUCGGAAACCGCCGCCAUGUGGAAAGGAGUCGUCAUCCUGAAUCCCGUCCCGUCAUCACUGGAGGCUUUAGACCUCGAGUGGUGAGGCUCGAGCUGCUUCGAUAGCAGUGAGUAUCCGCCCUGCUGGAUGUGGAAUGUUUUUUUUUACUUUUCUGGUCGAUCUGCUCACCCUACUCCUGCCCUGCCCCACCUGCCUCUGCCGUUGCUCGGAGGCCUGCUCUUUUCCUAGGAGGCUAAUUGACUAAGAGCCCUCAUGGGCGACGGCGUCCAGAAAGUUUGAUGGAACUAGCUCCCACGAACUCACGGAAGAAGGUGGGUCCGCUACUCCACGAGCCAAUCUGUAACACAAAGCACGCGUCAGCACGAAUAAUCGAGACUCGACCAACUCCGCCUACGGACUUGAGGCCCACAGAAACUUGCACUCACGUGCGCUAUGAGUAUUUCGCCCGUAGUCCUGCCUAUGGGUCAACCUAACCAAUGGUUCAUUUCAUUGAUUUUUCGAAAACCAACCUGUGAAUGGUAGUCUCCCCCUGUAUUUUGAGCACGGUCGUCGUAGCACAAGUACAGAGGAGAUCUGUCCCGUCGUGAAGUGGAUUCCCUGUAAUUGUGCGAUCUGACAUACUCUGGGGUCAGGUAUUUGAGAAAAACAAAAACAAAUUAUUAGUCAUUUCGCGUCAUUUCCAAACGCGCAACAAGGACCUCAGGGGUGACAGAUUAAAGUGGUAUCAGAGCCGGUUCAUCAGCUGGACAUGUGUGGCGAGUCUCGCUAUGAGCCACGGGUCGGAUGACGGGCUAACGAGCGACGUCUUACAUCGCGCUGGUGAUCUUGGGCUGUGUGUGUUGUGGACUCGACAGACGUCAGGACUGCAGCUUAAACGGGGAGUCCUGGUGACACCGCCAUAUCAACAUCGAUGAAAUGGAAGGUGUUGUUUAUUCAGGAGUUGAUAAGCACGACUUAGACACUAGCUAAAUAAUAACUGGCUUAGAGCAUUUGGGGUCUGUGUUGGUAUCAUGGGCCAACGAGUUACUCUUAAUUAAGCUUAGUGAAGCUUGGGCCUGGUCGUUACAUUGGUAAUCAGUCAAGUCGAAUUCUUUCAGCUCAUCGAAGCUACUGCUAGACACCGUCGAUUUGUUCAUGAAGUUAUUGUCGUUUCGAACUGCGAAUGAUGACCUGUCGUUCGGAUUCAGUAAUACCGAUUUUGCUGGGAGUCCACCGGGUUAUACCCAAAGCUCUCCGAGCUUUGCCUCAAUGUAAAGCUUGUGAAGCGGUGUGCGAUUUUGGAGAAGGCUGCAACGAAUCGCAAGAUAAUACCUGCACUGCGCCAAACCCUAGAAAAACUCCGGACUUGGUCACCGAAAGUUUUGGUUCAAGACCAGCUACACCACGCGAGGCUAUCUUCUUCGGGUCCGACCGAAUCCACGCCGGAGUAGAAUAUGCCGUCUCUCAAGAAUGACCACGUAGCGACGUCACGGAGCAGAAAUCCACUUCUUGAGCUUAGCGUUACAACUGUGCCGCCGCUGAAGUAUCUGGCAAUUAGCUCUGUCGCGAGAUGAUCCUCAGGUGCUCCCUACAAUACUCCGCGAGUAGAUCAGGAGUCAUCAUGAAACCGACGACAGACACUGAUCCAGAUAAGCUCGGAAGCCCUGUCAUUCAUGUCGCAUAGAAGGCUGCGCGGAGGAUUGGUGAGCCCGAAAGGCACACCGUGAACUCGUAGUGGCCGUAACGAGUCCGGAAAGGCGGUCUUUCGGCACAUCCUCAGCCCGGAUCUUUAAGCUGAUGUAGCCUCCCGACCGCAAGAUCAUCCUUGGAGUUAGCACCGACGAUCCUUUGACAAGGCUGGUCAUGGUACGAAGCCUGAACUUUCCAGUACGCGCUUUCUCAUCUUUAGAGUGACGGUCAGGUCCAGAGCGACGUGCAUCCAGACUUCUUGUACGACAUGCUCUGGCGCAGAUCGCGUCUGGAUUACGGUGGAUCGGAUGGUCUCGGUAUUACCGUUGGUGGAGUUUCGCGACUAUAAUAAACAGCUUUCAGGGUCGACAUCGGGAUGGCACCAUACCGAGGCGUCUGUUAUGGGCGUUCGAUGUCGUUCUCAGCUAUCUGCUUGGCACGCAUGUCGAAGACCGCCGGUUAGUUAGGACUACUAGAUUUAGUAGGAGACGCCACAUGAGGCAAGAUCCGCAUUGGGCGAGAGAGCGGCUUCAGACCUGCAACAGAUAGAAUCCAAGGGGCGACUAGCGCGGCCCAGGCGGAGGCCGGAACCUAGAGUUUCAGUCGUGAGUCAUGUGCUGCUCAAGUGUCGCCUUCCAGGAUCAAUACGGUUUGUUUGCGGAACAAGCUUAUCGCGCUGGUUUCGGUGGGACCCGUUCUGAGAUCCUACGAGCUGCGUUGGUCCGGUGGGCUUACCAGAUUGCUCUCAUACCGCAGUCUCGCCCGAGUGCAGCAACGUUUUUUCACGUGUCCCAUGCUUCGGAUACCACAUCCCGAUCCGUCCCCACAUCAUUCAGUCGACACGCAUUCAGCUAUGCGGGAGGAUCUCGAGCUAUGCAGUGAGGCUCCCGUUGCACGAUCCUGGUCACGUGAGGUGAACGCAGUUGCCGGAAUAGGAGCAUAUCCGUAUUCAAGGUCCAGUGGAGGAGAAGCGCGACGAGAGGGCUGCGCCUGAGGCUACUGGGAGCUUGAAUGCGUCAUGGCGGUCGAUCAUUAUCCACAGUUAUUUUGCGAGGGACGUCCUUGUNNNNNNNNNNNNNNNNNNNNNNNNNACUAAUUAUAUAGUUCUAUUAUGCCGCCGGCGCAAUUGUUAUAUAUUUGGAACGAUCUUAAAUUUACAAGAACCAAAUCGGAACAACAAUUAGACUACUAAGUUGCGCACCUAACAUAUUAACUUUUGCAACGAGCACUUAUUUCUCAUUCUACAAACAAAGAGUAAAACCAUUAUAUUGCUUAUUAUGCCUCGAGACAGUGUAAAUUUGGAACGAAUCAGAAACUUGUCAACGUUCACAAGACAACAAACAUGGACGAAAAUUAGCACUACUCAGUUUGCGCGCAACAGUAUAACUUUUGAACGAGUAUUUUUCUUCAUUGAUCAAUAGAACAAAGAGUUAAAACCUAAGUAUAUUAUUUUUUAUACCUCCAUUCGUGCUAAAUCGUAGAACGAGGUCAAUGUCAACGUUCACAAGACCAAAAUCGGAACACAUAGACUACUCAGUUGGCACCAACAGAUAUGAACUUAUGCACACGAAUACUUUUUUCUAAUUCUAUCAACAAAGAAGUAAACCCCAUAUUAUAUUGUAUCUUAUGCCCCAGAGUGUAAAUUUGGAACGUAACCAGAUGGCAAGGUUCACGUAAGAACAAAAAACAGGAACAAAAUUAGAUACUAGUUGCGGCCAAAAAGUCUAACUUUGCAACGAGUAUUUUUUCUCAUUUCUAUUAUCAGAAAGAGGUAAAACCUAAUUAUAUAGUUCUAAUUUGCCUGGAGUGUAAACUUGGAACGAAUCAGAUUCGUCAACGUGAUUAAGAAGAAAAACCAGAAAACACAUUACACUACUCUGGUUUGCAGCACUAACAGUAUAACUGCGACGUAGUACUUUUGUCUCUUUCUAUCGAACAAAAAGUGAAACCUAAUUAUCAUUCUAUUAUGCCCGGGCGAGUGUAAAUUGUGGAAGAUCUUCAACGUUCACAAAAGAACCAAAUCGGAACAACAUGAGCACUACUCAUUGCGACCUAACGUUAUAACUUUGCAACGAGUACUUUUCUGAUUUCUAUCAACAAAGAGAUAAAACCUUUAAUUAUAUCGAUAUCUAUAGUCUCGAGAGUGUAAAUUGGACGAUAUCAGAGUCAAGUUCAGAAAGAAUCAAAGAUUCGGCGAAGAACAUUAGAUACUCAGUUUUGGCCCUAACAGUUAUACUUAAUGCAACGAUCUUUUUCUACGUUCUAUCAAACAAAGAGUAAAAUACUAAUUAUAUUAUUUAUUAUACGCUCGAGAGUGUGAAUUUGGACGAAGGUCAUAUCAACGUUCACAAGAACCAGCCGGGAGACCGGUCCUUGUCCGAGAGACCGGUUCCCGAGAGCAAUACUUUCGGGACUUAGCCAAAUUUCGGCUUCUCUCGCUGGGCCAACGUUCGGGAACCGGUCCCUGCCUGCUAGGGACAGGUCUCAUCAGAGACCCCCGCAGCCCAGCCUGAUGGGACCGGUCCCUCCCUGCCAGGGACCGGUCCCCGAGAGCAUUUCUUCUCCAGUGCAGCUUUUGCACGGGUGCUCUCGCGGACACCUCCUCAAUGCACCUUAUGCAUUGUGAUCACCUUCGGACUUUCCGAAGCUUGCACGCACGACAACCAGUCGAUCUUUGACGAAGUCUAAUCCUCGAGUUUCGAGAAUUCACUUCCCUUACACUCUCCCCACUUAAAAGAGUUUCGUCCUCGAAACGAACUCAACAAUAUUAAAUUCAUCCAGAAUACUCAUACCUCGGUGGCUCACUCAAACAAGUGAGGAUGAUUCGCUCUCAUCUCCUCCUCGAGCUCCCAGGUGGCUUCGCGGUCAGCAUGAUUGCUCCACUCUCAGGGCAUAAUAGAAUAAUAUAAUUAGGUUUUACUCUUUGUUCGAUAGAAUGAGAAAAAGUACUCGUUGCAAAGUUAUACUGUUUGGGCGCAACAGAGUAGUCUAUUGUUGUUCCGGUUUUCGUUAUUGUGAACGUCGACAUCGAUUCGUUCCAAAUUUACACUCUCGGAGUAUAAUAGAACUAUAUAAUUUGGUUUUACUCUUUAUUCAAUAGAAUGAGAAAAAGUACUCGUUGCAAAGUUAUACUGUUUGGGCGCAACUCAGUGGUCUAAUUUUGUUCCGGUUUUUGUUCUUGUGAACGUUGACAUCGAUUCGUUCCAAAUUUAUACUCUCGGGGCAUAAUAGCACAAUAUAAUUAGGUUUUACUCUUUGUUCGAUAGAAUGAGAAAAAGUACUCGUUGCAAAGUUAUACUGUUAGGGUGCUACUGAAUAGUUGAAUGUUGUUCCAAUUUUGAUUCAUGUGAACGUUGACAUCGAUUCGUUCCAAAUUUACACUCUCGGGGCAUAAUAAAAUAAUAUAAUUAGGGUUUACUCUUUGCCCGAUAGAAUGAGAAAAAGUACUCGUUGCAAAGUUAUACUGUUAGUGUGCAACUGAGUAGUCUAAUAUUGUUCCGGUUUUUGUUCUUCAGAUCGUUGACAACGAUUCGUUCCAAAUUUACACUCUCAGGGCAUAAUAGAACAAUAUAAUUAGGUUUUACUCUUUGUUCGAUAGAAUGAGAAAAAGUACUCGUUGCAAAGUUAAACUGUUU
rnacentral:lncRNA from 1 species